GGAGGAGUGGCAGAGUGGUCGAUUGCACCGGUCUUGAAAACCGGCGAUGUGCAAGCAUCCGUGGGUUCGAAUCCCACCUCCUCCG
rnacentral:tRNA from 1 species